rnacentral:rRNA from 1 species
AGAGUUUGAUCCUGGCUCAGGACGAACGCUGGCGGCGUGCUUAACACAUGCAAGUCGAACGGAGCACCCUUGAUUGAGGUUUCGGCCAAAUGAUAGGAAUGCUUAGUGGCGGACUGGUGAGUAACGCGUGAGGAACCUGCCUUUCAGAGGGGGACAACAGUUGGAAACGACUGCUAAUACCGCAUGACGCAUUUUGAUCGCAUGGUCGAAAUGCCAAAGAUUUAUCGCUGAAAGAUGGCCUCGCGUCUGAUUAGCUAGUUGGUGAGGUAACGGCCCACCAAGGCGACGAUCAGUAGCCGGACUGAGAGGUUGACCGGCCACAUUGGGACUGAGAUACGGCCCAGACUCCUACGGGAGGCAGCAGUGGGGAAUAUUGGGCAAUGGGCGCAAGCCUGACCCAGCAACGCCGCGUGAAGGAAGAAGGCUUUCGGGUUGUAAACUUCUUUUAAGUGGGAAGAGCAGAAGACGGUACCACUUGAAUAAGCCACGGCUAACUACGUGCCAGCAGCCGCGGUAAUACGUAGGUGGCAAGCGUUGUCCGGAUUUACUGGGUGUAAAGGGCGUGCAGCCGGGCAUGCAAGUCAGAUGUGAAAUCUCAGGGCUUAACCCUGAAACUGCAUUUGAAACUGUAUGUCUUGAGUGCCGGAGAGGUAAUCGGAAUUCCUUGUGUAGCGGUGAAAUGCGUAGAUAUAAGGAAGAACACCAGUGGCGAAGGCGGAUUACUGGACGGUAACUGACGGUGAGGCGCGAAAGCGUGGGGAGCGAACAGGAUUAGAUACCCUGGUAGUCCACGCUGUAAACGAUGGAUACUAGGUGUGCGGGGACUGACCCCCUGCGUGCCGCAGUUAACACAAUAAGUAUCCCACCUGGGGAGUACGAUCGCAAGGUUGAAACUCAAAGGAAUUGACGGGGGCCCGCACAAGCGGUGGAUUAUGUGGUUUAAUUCGAAGCAACGCGAAGAACCUUACCAGGUCUUGACAUCCUGCUAACGAAGUAGAGAUACAUUAGGUGCCCUUCGGGGAAAGCAGAGACAGGUGGUGCAUGGUUGUCGUCAGCUCGUGUCGUGAGAUGUUGGGUUAAGUCCCGCAACGAGCGCAACCCCUAUUGUUAGUUGCUACGCAAGAGCACUCUAGCGAGACUGCCGUUGACAAAACGGAGGAAGGUGGGGACGACGUCAAAUCAUCAUGCCCCUUAUGACCUGGGCUACACACGU